UUGAAAGGGAAACGAUUGAAGUCAGUCGUACCGGCGGGUAAUCAGCCUUUUGGGUGUGAUUAUGUGGAGUGUGAGGAGUUAAACACCCUCAUCUUUGCAUAUUCGUGCACUUUGGGUGUACUUGCUCGUGUGGUAGGUUAACAUCAAUUUUGAUCGUCAUAAAAUGAUUGGAGGAAUGUAGCUUCGAUCUCGUAUUGAAGUGUUAUAGCCUUCGGUAGAUGUGAUGAUUGGGAUUGAGGAUUGCAACGGAUACCCUUCGGGGCUACCUGUCUGAUCUCUGAAAGUUGCUCUGGUGCUGAAAGCUUGCUUAUGGUAUCAAAGUUGACGUUCAACAGGUUAGAACGGGAUAAAUUCGUUAAGGAUGUUGACGUA
rnacentral:rRNA from 1 species